rnacentral:rRNA from 1 species
UAUCUGGUUGAUCCUGCCAGUAGUCAUAUGCUUGUCUCAAAGAUUAAGCCAUGCAUGUCUAAGUAUAAGCGACUAUACUGUGAAACUGCGAAUGGCUCAUUAAAUCAGUUAUGGUUUAUUUGAUGGUACCUACUACUUGGAUAACCGUAGUAAUUCUAGAGCUAAUACAUGCAGGAAGACCCGACUUCGGAAGGGUUGUAUUUAUUAGAUAAGAAACCAAUCCAGCUUGCUGGUUGCGUGCCGAGUCACAAUAACUUUUCGAAUCGCAUGGCUUCACGCCGGCGAUGGUUCAUUCAAAUUUCUGCCCUAUCAGCUUUCGAUGGUAGGAUCGAGGCCUACCAUGGCGUUUACGGGUAACGGAGAAUUAGGGUUCGAUUCCGGAGAGGGAGCCUGAGAGAUGGCUACCACAUCCAAGGAAGGCAGCAGGCGCGUAAAUUGCCCGAAUCCUGACACAGGGAGGUAGUGACAAAGAAAUAACAAUACAGGGCUACAUCUAGUCUUGUAAUUGGAAUGANUCAAUUUACANUCUCUUAACGAGGAUCAAUUGGAGGGCAAGUCUUGGUGCCACAGCCCGCGGUAAUUCCAGCUCAAUAGCGUAUAUUAAAGUUGUUGCAGUUAGAACGCUCGUAGUCGGAUUUCGGGCGGGCCCGACCGGUCUGCCGAUGGGUAC